CAUUUGAGAAGCUGGUGAUUGGAAUUCCACACAUGAUCUUUCAUUGUCCAUGUGUCUUAUUAGUUUAGCAUUCUCAGGAGGAUAGGUUCACUUCCCUUAGGUUACGGGCCCUAGUAUACACUCCACACCAAAACAUACUUGGAACAAGAGGAGCUCUGUGGUAAGUCAUAAACAACCAGCUGAUUGAUUGGUUCUUGGAAUUUAAAUAUCUAAGCAUUCAUUUUAAUUAAGCAC
rnacentral:lncRNA from 1 species